rnacentral:rRNA from 1 species
UACGUAGGGUCCGAGCGUUGUCCGGAAUUAUUGGGCGUAAAGAGCUCGUAGGCGGUUUGUCGCGUCUGCUGUGAAAUCCCGAGGCUCAACCUCGGGCCUGCAGUGGGUACGGGCAGACUGGAGUGCGGUAGGGGAGAAUGGAAUUCCUGGUGUAGCGGUGGAAUGCGCAGAUAUCAGGAGGAACACCGAUGGCGAAGGCAGUUCUCUGGGCCGUAACUGACGCUGAGAGACGAAAGCUAGGGGAGCGAAUGGG